rnacentral:sRNA from 1 species
CCUGGUUAUAUUUCAUACCCCGGCAAUUUUUAAUUAAGCGGUUCCAGGUGAACCGCGAACAGUAAGGAGUAGUUUAAAAUGGUAGAAGGAACAGUAAAAUGGUUUAAUGAUUCAAAGGGUUUUGGUUUUAUUGAGCAGGAUGGUGGCAAAGACGUAUUCGUGCACCACACCGCAAUCAAGGCCGAAGGCUUCAAGUCCCUCCAGGAGGGUGCCCGGGUACAAUUCGAGAUUGUUGACGGCGCUAAAGGUCCUGCAGCUGAGAAUGUUACCCAGCUGUAAAAAUCAGAUCCAGACCAUAACAAAACCCCUGCAAUUAAUUGUGCAGGGGUUUUGUG